ACACAGAAGACAAGACAGAGAGGAGCACAGGAGGGAAGAAGAGCCCCUGGGGAAGAAGUCCAGUCUUUGCAGUUUUCCCCACUGUGGCAGAGGGGCCAUCCUCCUCCCUUGUUCCCCAGGAGGCUCCUGUUCGGCUUUUCAGAACCAUCUCCUCUUCCCAGUAAACACAGAAGACAAGACAGAGAGGAGCACAGGAGGGAAGAAGAGUCCCUGGGGAAGAAGUCUUUCAGCUUCCUCCAUGCAGCAUGUCUUUCAUGCUGGUUCUUUCUGGCUGACCUGAAACACAGGUGCCUGCAGAGGAAGGAUUUCACCCAGGCUGGAGUACAGGAGGAUGAAGAAUUUCUUGAGAGAAAGUUUUCACACUCCAUAGACAUAUAAGAGUGUUACCGUGGGUAAAUACAAUGGAGAGUCAUUGCUGGAUCUUAUGGUAAGAGCAUGUUUUGUAAGAGUUUUGUGAGAAACUGCCAACUGUCUUCCAAAGUGGCUACACCAUUU
rnacentral:lncRNA from 1 species